rnacentral:rRNA from 1 species
AUUGAACGCUGGCGUCAGGCUUAACACAUGCAAGUCGAGCGGGGGAAGGUAGCUUGCUACAGGACCUAGCGGCGGACGGGUGAGUAAUGCUUAGGAAUCUGUCUAUUAGUGGGGGACAACAUCUCGAACGGGAUGCUAAUACCGCAUACGUCCUACGGGAGAACGCAUGGGAUCUUCGUACCUUGCGCUAAUAGAUGAGCCUAAGUCGGAUUAGCUGGGUGGUGGGGUAAAGGCCUAGCAAGGCGACGAUCUGUAGCGGGUCUGAGAGGAUGAUCCGCCACACUGGGACGGAGACACGGCCCAGACUCCUACGGGAGGCAGCAGUGGGGAAUAUUGGACAAGGGGGGGAACCCUGAGCCAGCCAGGCCGCGUGUGUGAAGAAGGCCUUAUGGUUGUAAAGCACUUUAAGCGAGGAGGAGGCUACUCUAGUUAAUACCUAGGGAUAGUGGACGUUGCUCGCAGAAUAAGCACCGGCUAACUCUGUGCCAGCCGCCGCCGUAA